UACGAAGGUCCCGAGCGUUAUCCGGAUUUAUUGGGUUUAAAGGGUGCGUAGGCGGGUUAUUAAGUCAGUGGUGAAAGCCUUCAGCUUAACUGAAGAACUGCCAUUGAUACUGAUGAUCUUGAGUAUGAUUGAGGUGGGCGGAAUGUGUCAUGUAGCGGUGAAAUGCUUAGAUAUGACACAGGACACCGAUUGCGAAGGCAGCUCACUAAGCCAUAACUGACGCUGAUGCACGAAAGCGUGGGGAGCAAACAGG
rnacentral:rRNA from 1 species